UGCAGUCACGUAGCAGACGUACGAUCACCGUACAACUCGGUAGCCACCUUAUUGUAUGCAGUGUCCAGUCCUAUGUAGUGAUUCAUGGUUUAUAAUUUAUAUUAUAUAUGCAGGCCGUCCGAAAAGCAGAGAAAUCACAUACAAUUGUAAAGUAUAAGUGAGAGCCUACUAUUUUUUUUAUAUCUCUAGAAUGAUUAAAGAGAAUCAUUCAAUAGUUUAUUAAGAUUAUUAUACUUUUAAACCAAUAUGCCUUUAAAAGAAUUAAACAUAUUAGAACAUUCCGGUCUGGCACCGGUAACAUUUGUUAGAACUGUAUUAUCUGAUUUUGGAGCAAAUGUGACUGUAAUACAAAUAGUGUAAUGGAAAAAUUGAGAUUAGGCUCCGAUGUAAUGAUUGCCAAAAAUCAUUGCUUAAUAUAUGCUCGAUUGAAUGGCUAUGGUUCACAUGGACAAUAUACAAAAAGAGCUGGACGUGAUAUAAAUUAUUUAGCCUUGUCAGGUUUGUUGUCAUUAUAUGGUUCAAAGAAUUCAAAACCUGUUCCUCAGUAGUAUGAUUUUAAUUUGAUUCAAAAGAUGCUUGUGUAACUCCUGUGUUAGAGCUACAGUAAAUAAAGUAAUCAAGCAAGUUGAAAUACAUACAUGAGGAAAGAUAAUAUUGUGCUACCUGUUCCAUAACCAAAAUUAAGUGUUACUCCUGGUGUUUCAAAUAAACCAACUGCGGUUUGUGGACAGAAUACAAUAGGGAAAUAUUUGAAAGUAUUGGACAUACACAAAUAUAAAUCAAAAAACUAUUU